CAAUGUGAUGCUUUGGAGGAAGCAUGUGCACAAGAGCAAUUAAUUAAGUAUUAAUAAUAAUUUCUUUUUACCAGAACAGUUUUCUGUUCCUUAAGAGUUUAAAUUCAUCAGAAAAGAAAAACCUCUCUAUAUUGGUCAGCAUUCAACACACACCACACUUUGUCUGGUCAUCAAGCCCAUGUGACUAGAAAGUUACAAACACAAAAAGUAAACCAGAUGUUGACCACAGUAUGGAGCCUGCCAUUUGAAAAUAAACCUUCCAGGGAUGUAUUAUUUUCAAUAUUUUGGAGUGGACUUUUUAAAAAUAAAGAUGUAUAUCAGUGGAAACAAGUUAAGUCACAUAUAUACCUAUCUAUACACUCAAUCAUACAUGCAUUAUUACAAUCAGAUUCUCACUAGGUGAGAGAGUUUCAUCCAAAAGAAUUAUUUGAAUGCAAUAGGCAAGUCUAAUGGAAAUAUCUCAAACAGGAAGGAAUCCCAAACUAUUUUUUAAUCAUUCAUUUAAUCAUUCAUGACAUCUUUACCUUCUACUGCUAAAUGAAUACAGUUGGCUGCCAUUUUGAUACAGCUCAUAACAGUCUCUUGAGUAAAAAGCAAGGUUAUUACCCCCUCUCUCCAAGCUAACCUAAAAAGUCUCCAUUGUAUCAAAAACAAAGGUCCCAAUGUUGAACACAUCCCAGCCAUGGAAACUUGGUGUAUCCUGAAAGUUGAUGGAUUUUACUCAGAUAACAUACUCCCAGUGUGGAUAUAACUAAGAGAUGACUUUAAUUCAGCGAAUGUUUUCCAGUUGUUUUCAAAAUAUGGUUCUAAGUGAUAGAAACUCCUUUGCUAAGGAUGAAAAGCUUCCUCCUCUUAAAAACACUUGGCAUAUCAAGGUCCUGCAGAAUAUUCCAAGCACUCAGCAGGUCAGAUCCUCCCUGA
rnacentral:lncRNA from 1 species